rnacentral:rRNA from 1 species
UACGAAGGGGGCUAGCGUUGCUCGGAAUUACUGGGCGUAAAGCGCACGUAGGCGGCUUGUUAAGUCAGGGGUGAAAUCCUGGAGCUCAACUCCAGAACUGCCUUUGAUACUGGCGAGCUUGAGUUCGGGAGAGGUGAGUGGAACUGCGAGUGUAGAGGUGAAAUUCGUAGAUAUUCGCAAGAACACCAGUGGCGAAGGCGGCUCACUGGCCCGGAACUGACGCUGAGACGCGAAAGCGUGGGGAGCAAACAGG